UGGGGAAUUUUGGACAAUGGGCGAAAGCCUGAUCCAGCAAUGCCGCGUGUGCGAAGAAGGCCUUCGGGUUGUAAAGCACUUUUGUCCGGAAAGAAAUCCGCCUGGCUAAUACCCGGACGGGAUGACGGUACCGGAAGAAUAAGCACCGGCUAACUACGUGCCAGCAGCCGCGGUAAUACGUAGGGUGCGAGCGUUAAUCGGAAUUACUGGGCGUAAAGCGUGCGCAGGCGGCUUUGUAAGACAGAUGUGAAAUCCCCGGGCUCAACCUGGGAACUGCAUUUGUGACUGCAAGGCUAGAGUGCGUCAGAGGGAGGUGGAAUUCCGCGUGUAGCAGUGAAAUGCGUAGAGAUGCGGAGGAACACCGAUGGCGAAGGCAGCCUCCUGGGAUGACACUGACGCUCAUGCACGAAAGCGUGGGGAGCAAACA
rnacentral:rRNA from 1 species